rnacentral:rRNA from 1 species
GAUGAACGCUGGCGGCGUGCUUAACACAUGCAAGUCGAACGAUGAAGCCCAGCUUGCUGGGUGGAUUAGUGGCGAACGGGUGAGUAACACGUGAGUAACCUGCCCUUAACUCUGGGAUAAGCCUGGGAAACUGGGUCUAAUACCGGAUAGGAGCGUCCACCGCAUGGUGGGUGUUGGAAAGAUUUAUCGGUUUUGGAUGGACUCGCGGCCUAUCAGCUUGUUGGUGAGGUAAUGGCUCACCAAGGCGACGACGGGUAGCCGGCCUGAGAGGGUGACCGGCCACACUGGGACUGAGACACGGCCCAGACUCCUACGGGAGGCAGCAGUGGGGAAUAUUGCACAAUGGGCGCAAGCCUGAUGCAGCGACGCCGCGUGAGGGAUGACGGCCUUCGGGUUGUAAACCUCUUUCAGUAGGGAAGAAGCGAAAGUGACGGUACCUGCAGAAGAAACACCGGCGAACUACGU